UAUCCCGAUAACCAUAUGCUCGGUCGACGUGAGAUCGUGAAUGGAAAGGCUGGAAAAAUAUGUGGCAAACAUACAAACAAGUGUACGAUAAAGUGAUCAGAAUUGGGAAUGCUAUCCGGAGCUGUGGUGUUGAACCGAGGGCUAAAUGUGGAAUUUACGGUGCCAACUGCGCGGAGUGGAUUAUGAGCAUGGAGGUCAGUGGAUCCCUUCAAACAUAUUAUUAGACUUAUAGCUUGUUUGCAAACGUGACCUGUCUUGGUAGCAUGAAGUAAGAAUUGGCACUGGAGCCUGGAGGAUAGUCCUGCCAAAUCUCAUGCCAUCUGAUUCACUUUCUGGGUUAUUAAUGCCAAAAUUUA